GUUCCAAUGAAGCUCAACAUCGCGUACCCCCGCAACGGGACGGUGAAGCAGUUCGAGAUCUCGGACGAGGUGCUCCGCCGCGUGCAGCUGCAGGACUAUCGCCUCGGCAACGAGGUGGACGGCGCCAUCUUUGGCAGCGAGUUCAAGGGCUACAUCUUCCGUCUGCGGGGUGGCUCGGACAAGGAUGGUUUCCCGAUGGUCCCUGGCGUGCUCGCCUCCAGCCGUGUGUCGCUGCUGGUGAAGCGCGGUGCAAUCGGCUUCAACACCUUCCGCGGCUACCAGGGUGAGCGCCGCCGCAAGAACGUUCGCGGCUGCGUGCUCGCGAGCGACAUUGCGCUGGUGAACGUGACCAUCUCCAAGGUCGGUGACCAGCCGAUCGAGGGUGUGACGGACACCACGGCUCCCCGCCGUCUGGGCCCGAAGCGCGCGAGCAAGAUCCGCAAGCUCUUCAACCUGUCCCGCACCGAAGACGUGCGCAAGUACGUUGUUCGCCGCCGCGUCGUGAAGAGCGGCAAGAAGGACCGGCUGAAGGCCCCGAAGAUCCAGCGUCUGAUCACGCCAAGGGUCAAGGCCCGCCGUGCCAAGAAGGCCAAGGACGCCAUCGCCAAGGUGCGCGCGUCUGCCGCUGAGCGCCGUGAGUACCUGCGCCUCAUCGCCUCAAACCGCCGUGCGCUGCGCCAGCGUGACCACUCCAAGAAGCACACCCAGAAGGUGCACGCCCAGCGCGCUGAGGUGGCCGCAUUCCAGAAGAAGUAGGCUGCCUUCCACUGAAGCGCGCACACAGACCGACGGACACAACCACCCCUCUCUUUUUUCUUCCCUUUUUUACUUUUCAUUUCCUCUGAAGCAAACAAACAAACAAACAACAGCAAGCGCAACGCUGAGAGUCACAGCGGGGCAUCGACCUCUCACAGUCGCGGCAGCGGUGUGAAGUGCGCAGACGUGCACGACGAUGCUCUCAAAUGGACGGAGGAUUGCUUCGUGUGUGUGUGUGUGUUUCGCACCUCGAAGGUGAGACAGAAUGCAGAGAAAGGAUAGGCGAGGGACCAGGGGCGGCGCUGGAGAGGGUGGUCCUGUGCGGGUGGGAGGGACGAAACAGACGCGAGUUGUCGCUUUACCUCUUUUCUUUUCACUCUCUUUCCACUCACUUCUGCCAUGCCGUACCUCGCCGUUGGUAGCUUACACACAUGCACACAUCAGUGCGCACCCCGGUCCAACGCAUCCCCCUUCUCUGUUUUGAAGACACGGAUAGCUGAGAAAACGAACAAGCAACACACCUCUCUCAAGGUUGCUCCUUGGCUGCACCGCCCAUGCACCCACUUCUCCCCUCUCUGCACUUUCUCUUCCCUCUUUCAUCACCAUUCAGAACUCUCUCCGACGCUAUUGUCGAUGGGAUAAAC
rnacentral:misc_RNA from 1 species